rnacentral:rRNA from 1 species
GACGAACGCUGGCGGCGUGCUUAACACAUGCAAGUCGAGCGGAAAGGCCCUGCUUUUGUGGGGUGCUCGAGUGGCGAACGGGUGAGUAACACGUGAGUAACCUGCCCUUGACUUUGGGAUAACUUCAGGAAACUGGGGCUAAUACCGGAUAGGAGCUCCUGCUGCAUGGUGGGGGUUGGAAAGUUUCGGCGGUUGGGGAUGGACUCGCGGCUUAUCAGCUUGUUGGUGGGGUAGUGGUUUACCAAGGCUUUGACGGGUAGCCGGCCUGAGAGGGUGACCGGCCACAUUGGGACUGAGAUACGGCCCAGACUCCUACGGGAGGCAGCAGUGGGGAAUAUUGCACAAUGGGCGGAAGCCUGAUGCAGCAACGCCGCGUGCGGGAUGACGGCCUUCGGGUUGUAAACCGCUUUCGCCUGUGACGAAGCGUGAGUGACGGUAAUGGGUAAAGAAGCACCGGCUAACUACGUG